rnacentral:rRNA from 1 species
GCAAGACGAGGGGUAACAUUGGUGCUUGCACCACAUGACGACCGGCGCACGGGUGAGUAACGCGUAUACAAUUUGCCUUAUACAGGGGGAUAGCCUUUAGAAAUGAAGAUUAAUACCCCAUAGUACAUAUAUAUCGCCUGGUAUUUAUGUUAAAGAUUUAUUGGUAUAAGAUGAGUAUGCGUUCUAUUAGCUAGAUGGUAAGGUAACGGCUUACCAUGGCAACGAUAGAUAGGGGCCCUGAGAGGGGGAUC